UUAGAGACCCUUCUUCAAAUUUGAUCUAUAAUUCUACAAUAAUUAAUUUCUCCUUUUUAUUUAGUUAGUACCAAAUCUUAUAUGGUGCUUGUCUCAAUUCAUUUUUAAUUUUGAAUAUUGAAUUACAUGUUUAUGUUUGUUUGUUAGCAAUGGAUCUGGUUAUGAUUUUGGGGAGCUAGAAGAAGCAAUAGGCAAGGAGAUAAGUGUAGAAAUGAUGAGAAAAAAAGCAUGUACCAAGCCAUGCAAUCAGACCAAACUACAAAUAGAAAUUGUGCAAUGCAGUUUCCAGAAAAGCAUAAUCAUCAAGAAGAGAUAGCUGACAGAUUGAAUGUGAAAUAAAGAAGCUUGUUGAUGAACCAAUUUUAUUCUCUGAAAAUGGUGGGGAUUGAGAAGGAAGUGAAGAAAGAAAGAAAGAAAUGGGAGCUGUGGAUUUGGCAGUGAUCAAAGCAAAACUACUUUUAUUUAUAGAAAAUGUUGAAGUGAAG
rnacentral:lncRNA from 1 species